CUCCCUCGUUGCUGAUCCCAGGUUCGAUAGUACCAAUUAGGCACCACCUCGCCAAGAACCAACUUCGAUGAAGCGACGGGCGGUGUGUGCAAGGAG
rnacentral:rRNA from 1 species